GUUGAUCCUGGCUCAGGAUGAGUGCGGGCGGUCUGCUUAACACAUGCAAGUCGAACGGGCUCUUCGGAGCUAGUGGCGGACGGGUGAGUAACGCGUGAGGAUCUGCCUUCAGGAGGGGGAUAACGACUGGAAACGGUCGCUAAUACCGCAUAUGCCUACGGGUGAAAGAUUUAUCGCCUGGAGAUGAACUCGCGUCAGAUUAGCUAGUUGGUGGGGUAAGAGCCUACCAAGGCGACGAUCUGUAGCUGGUCUGAGAGGAUGAUCAGCCACACUGGGACUGAGACACGGCCCAGACUCCUACGGGAGGCAGCAGUGGGGAAUUUUCCGCAAUGGGCGCAAGCCUGACGGAGCAAGACCGCGUGCGGGAAUGACGGCCUAAUGGUUGUAAACCGCUUAUCUCUGGGAAGAUGAUGACGGUACCAGAGGAAUCAGCCUCGGCUUAACUCCGUGCCAGCAGCCGCGGUAAUACGGAGGAGGCAAGCGUAAUCCGGAAUUAUUGGGCGUAAAGCGUCCGUAGGGUGGUUAUUCAAGUCUGCUGUACAAGCGUGGGGCUUAACUCCAUAGAGGCAGUGGAAACUGGAUGACUUGAGUGCGGUAGGGGUCGAGGGAAUUCCCAGUGUAGCGGUGAAAUGCGUAG
rnacentral:rRNA from 1 species